rnacentral:rRNA from 1 species
UACGUAGGGUGCAAGCGUUGUCCGGAAUUAUUGGGCGUAAAGAGCUCGUAGGCGGUUUGUUGCGUCGGCUGUGAAAACCUGCAGCUUAACUGUGGGCUUGCGGUCGAUACGGGCAUCACUGGAGUUCGGCAGGGGAGACUGGAAUUCCUGGUGUAGCGGUGAAAUGCGCAGAUAUCAGGAGGAACACCGGUGGCGAAGGCGGGUCUCUGGGCCGAUACUGACGCUGAGGAGCGAAAGCGUGGGGAGCGAACAGG